AGCGAACGCUGGCGGCAGGCCUAACACAUGCAAGUCGAACGAACCUUUCGGGGCUAGUGGCGGACGGGUGAGUAACACGUGGGAACGUGCCUUUAGGUUCGGAAUAACUCAGGGAAACUUGUGCUAAUACCGAAUGUGCCCUUCGGGGGAAAGAUUAAUCGCCUUUAGAGCGGCCCGCGUCUGAUUAGCUAGUUGGUUGAGGUAAUGGCUCACCAAGGCGACGAUCAGUAGCUGGUCUGAGAGGAUGAUCAGCCACAUUGGGACUGAGACACGGCCCAAACUCCUACGGGAGGCAGCAGUGGGGAAUCUUGCGCAAUGGGCGAAAGCCUGACGCAGCCAUGCCGCGUGAAUGAUGAAGGUCUUAGGAUUGUAAAAUUCUUUCACCGGGGACGAUAAUGACGGUACCCGGAGAAGAAGCCCCGGCUAACUUCGUG
rnacentral:rRNA from 1 species